AUACAUAUAUCUCAACUUUCCUAUCAUGAAGUUCAAAAUGAAUUAUACAAACUUUCCAAGAAUACCGAGUUAAAUACAUAUUCAUAAUAAGCUUGUAUGAAGUUGGUAUGCUUUUAUUUUCAUGUCAUUUAUAGGAUUAAAAGUUUUGAUCAGAACAUGCAUGAUUAUUUUUUCAGAUCCCGACCUGUAUCUCAAUGAAAUAGUCUAUCGAUUCGACACCCAGUCUUCUCAAAUCGAUUUGGUACCCAAUCUUCUCAACACAUCCAUAUAAUCAUAAAGCUUGUUCAGGUUUGCAAUUAUAAUUGUGGAUUUUGUUUUGCCAGUGAUUUCGUUGAUUUUAAUUGUGGUUGAAAUUGUGUUUCUUUUAAUAACAUGUAAUGCAAGUGUAUAGUGAAUGUGUGUGUUGUGCGUGUGCUAUGCACGUGAGGAGUACGAGUGUUGAGAGAAGAUUGCUAUAUAUUCUCAUGUCUGUCUUGUAAACAAUCCAUCUUUAUUAUUAUCAAUCAAUUGAUUAAAUCGUUGCAAAUGUAGACAUCAGAUUUACCUGUGUUACUAUGGUAUCAGACUCAGAAAUCAAUUUCUGAGGAUAUCGAUCCUAUCCUGUUUCUUCAUCAAAACCACCAUUACUUCCAUCUUCAACAAUCAUCACCACAAUUAGUUCAUCAUCUUCUUCUUCUGCUGCUACUGUAGAUCGAGAAUUGAAGGCUGAUUUCACCAAAUCAUCUUUGUUUUGCAACAAAUUCGACUCAUCUAUGUGUUUCUAUCUACAUCUACAACAACAUUGUGUAAAUUUCUUCAUCCACCUCCAUUAAUGGUGUUUUCUGGUUGGAAUUAGGGUUUUGAUUUGGUUGAUACCUCUGCUACGUCAACAAAUAGGAUCAAGCAUGUAUUUUAUAUCUAAAAUUCAGUUUUAGGGUUUGAGCUCUUGGUUAUUUCAAUUUCCUGUUUGGUGUUUGGAUUGAAAUCUCUUACCUUAUCAACUAGAAUUGAGUCUCUGUUGGUAAUCCCCAAUUUCAUGUUUAGAUUACUUUAGAUUUGAUGUGUUCAAUUUCUACAUCACUUCCUCAACUACAUCCAGUUUCAUCUUCAACUGCUUUAUACAUCAUAAUUAGCUUGUAUUUUGCAUCUAAUUUCUUCAUCAAGAUCUAUCGUUCUUGAUUCCUGAUGCCGAUAUAGUCUAAGCGUGUUCUAGUCCGCUACACCAAGGUCUAGUUAGGACGAAAACUUAAAGUCGUUCCACUGAUUGGAUUCAGCAGAAGAUUGAGAAGUUGUUGGUCUCAUAUCUUACUUCAAGGCAGUCCUCACAUAUGUGUUGAAGAAUCUUGCGUUUUUUAAUGGUGUUUCUGCAAUUGAACAUCGAAUUGGAGUUGCUGAGUUACAUUAAGUACAAAUUGAUGUUCUCUUUGUUGAGUUUGUGUACACUUAGUAUGCAACCUGGUUUUCAUCUUGCAUGUGUGUUCAAUGUGCAACCUGUAGUUCUUCUACUUUUCAUAUUCUUUGAAUAAAACAAUUGAAGUUCAUCUUCAAUGGUUCUUUUUAAUUUUGUUUCGUGUGUGAGUAAAUACUUCAACCUGCUCUGGCCUUAAAGAGAAUAAUAAAAGGUUAAUAAUACAGUUGAAGCCAAGUCAUGUUGGAGUACAACAUAGAUUGGUCAAUAAAUUGCUUCAGCUCUUGUGUGAAUUGAAUGAGACAAGGUACAACUGGUGGGAAGAUUUCUUAUGUUGCAGCUGUGAUUGAUUCUUCAUAUUUGAUAACAGUGUAUGCUAAUGGAUGUUUAAAUGCUCAUAGUCUACAGUUUGAAUUGGUCCAAAGUCUAUCAUUUACAACAAUAUUUUCAACUUAUGGAGCCAAGUUAUUCAGUAACUUCAACAGACAUGUUCAAAUCUGGUCCUCAUCUGCAGUUCUAGAGAGUAAAUUCCAAUCUUAGCUAGCCUGCAAUUGUACCUCCAUAUGCUAGUUUAUGAGUAGCAUCCCCUCUAUCUGCACUUUAUAUACAUUUUCCUGAGUUGGUCUGAUUGGCGCUGGUUUAUCUUCAGAUUUUCUUUCAUGGUUCCUAACAUUUCGUAGUCUGCAAGUUACAGCGAUGGGAUUAUUCUUUUGGAGGUGUGUGUUGCAGUCAAGGUAUGAUGCUACAUGUGUUCAUUUUGGGUCAGAAUUCAGUCAAAGACAAAGGCUAGAGAAUGGUACUGCAACUGUGUGCUUAUGAGUAUUGUGCUUAAUGUUAUCUCUCUCAAGCCAAAGGUUCUCCAGCCGCUUACUCAUGGUUUUCAACAACAACCUCAUAGUGCUGGUUCCUUUCUUUUGGAGCUCAGUCGGUUGGUUGAUAGUGGUGCUCAGAUUUUUCGUUUGGUUUCAUUUUCUAUCAUUCAUUUCAGCUAUAUUUUAUUGUAUCUGCUGCUCCUGUCAAGUUCAACAAUAUCUAUGGAGGUCACUUACUUCAACUUUGUUCUGGGUUAUAUUUUCUAUUGUCAGAUUUAGCCAACUGCUUUCAGCAAUGCCUGGUAGUUUUAGAAAUGCUUAUCCACUUAUAAUUCAACUGCAACUACAAACUUUUUCUGCACCAACUAGUCAUGCACUACCAUCUCAACUACUUCUAUUGAUGCUUGUUUAUACCUGGUAUUUCUAGAUAUGCUGCAAUACCAAUUGCCUUACUUGCUUACUGUGUUAUUGCCUCUAUCAACACUACUGUUAUGGUCUGAACAACCCAACAUUUUCGUCUGCGACAAGUUCAAACUUCAGCAACAUAUAUUCGUAUUGCUUGUCCGUAUGCUUUAUUUUCUGUUGGUGAUUUCCAUGUAAUGCAAGUGUGUCGUGAAUGUGAUUACAAGCUCAAGUAUCCUCUUCAAGCCCCCCUUGAGCUUGAGGGAGGGUAAUAACAUGUAAUGCAAGUGUGUAGUGAAUGUGUGUGUUGCGCGUGUGCUAUGCACGUGAGGAGUACGAUUGUUGAAAGAAGAUUGCUAUAUAUUCUCAUGUAUCAAAUCAAUCAAACAAGAUGAUAAGUGAAUCUAAAUACUGGAUUCUCCUUAAUUCUGGUGACAGUAUUAGGAAAUACAGCUCUCUCAUUAAUUCUAUACCCACACAAUUAACUUUACGCCUCAUUUAUAUCUCCCACUAAACCCAUUUCGCGUUCACCCCACUUUCUCUCCCAGUGCUGGCUAUGUAACUUACGAUGAUGAACAAAAUAACUACUGCAACUUCGACGAUUUCCAUCAGCCGUAGUCAACCAAAAUCAAAGUAAGAUUCGCAGGAAACCAUUAUCCAGAAUCAAAUCCUUAAUGUUAUUAAGUUCGGCUUUUGAUCUCUCACGGAUUUUAGGUUCAAAAAUUGCGGAAUCUACGUGAUAAUUCUGAAUUUUCAAAACUGUUCUUUGAGAAUAAUCAAAAUCUCAAGGUGGUGUUGAUUCUAAGAAGGAAAACUAAACAACUUCAUGUAUGGUUUAACUCUAAAUAUACCGAGGCGAGAGCUACCUGUUGCCGCUAAUAAGUUCAAGGAAGAGUGCUUUUGGUGAAGAUGGAUUUGGACGUUUACAUAAGGGUUAUCUUGAAAACACUGGUCAGGUCAGUUGUGUUCUUGAAGCUAAUGUUAUAUUUGUUAAAUUGUUUUGUGUUUACACGUUGAAUUAGCGGUGUAAAUUCUGCUUUGCUGACAUACUGUGAUUGUUGUGAAGAAUCCAUCCUUCUUGGAAGUCUUCUCUGUGAUUGUUGCCUUUCUUUUGGGGUUAAUGAAAUCAAAAGCCUAUCUUCCUCUUACUCUUUGUGAUUCUGAAUAAUGAUUACUUCAAUUUGUUGUUUAAUUAUAUAUCAGAUUUUGAUUUAUGCGUGUGGCGAUGGAAUUGAAAGAGAAGUCCUGCAAUUCCCUUUUAUUUUAGGUUUAUCUUUUUUCAUGGAUCUUUUUGUUUAGCAUUCUAAAACAUCCUUAACAUGAGAAAUUUCUAAAUACACCCUCUGCUUUUCUGCAACGUGGACCAAACUGGUUCUGUGACUGAGAGCGUUAAAGUCUGAUGGACUGUUAUGGCUAGCCAACGAAGGUUGUACGCAUAACUUUAUUGGUAAUUUAAAAUCUUUAUUACAUGAGAUGUUGAACUAACUUCUCCUGUUAGGGGUGCAGCGGUCAAAUGGAAGAUAGUGGUGAAAGUGUGAAACCAAAUUAAGAUACAUUUAUUGCUGAUAUAUCUGGUGGUUUGGCAACUGUGAAUUUGUUUAUUUAUCUUUUUGUUAUAUUUAUAUUUAUCUUUUAUCUUAUUAUUUUUUGCUUAAUAAAGUGCUUCUUAAGGUGUUUCAUCUGUGUGUAAAACUGAAUAAAAUUUGUAAACCUCACCAAUUAUUACUCACAGAAAUAUUUGCCUUCGGUGAAACAGGGACAAAUCAAGACCGGAGCGCCUUGCAGAUCAAAACUAGAUUGGAUGACUGAGCUGUACCACUAGGUGAAAUUCUUCUGGUCAUAAUAUCGUCAUGCAUAAUCAAGCAGUGAUCAGGUUUAGCUGGUUGUGUUGCAGUACUGACAUUGUUGGUGAAAUUUGAUUCCUUUAAAAUUUGACCAAGUUGGGUGCGGUCUCUGUAGAUUAAUUGAAACUCUGAUUGUGUUUUGCAGGUGCAUAGUGCAUGCAUAUUGGUGGAGUAUUUGCUGAAGCCUACUGCAAUAAUCGAAGUCAGAUUGUACAAACAGCAGAAAGUUGAAAGAGAUGCUACAAUUGCUUUCUCCAUUAAUUAGUUCAGUACCAACAGAAGAGAAUGGUAACUUCUCCUUCCACCGCUUUCCAAAUAAAAAUUUCUCUUUACACUUUGUACUGGUUUGAAGGUACUAGCUAAAGAAAAAAUGGCAGCAGCCUGUAGAGCCCCAAGUAAAUUGCGUAGCCUGAAGUAAAUAGUGAUAUUUCAUUGGUAGUGGUAUUGGCGCCUUUUGUUUUGUUCGGAUGAGUGCCUUUUAUGUAAAAAAAUAUCUUUAAAUUAAUUGCAAGAAAUUUAUAGAACCUAUCUAGAUAGGGAAGUUUAAGAAUUGUAAAAUGAAAUUUGGUGUUUUCAGAAUAUGUCAGCAUAAAUAUUGUUUUCUCAAUUAAGAA